AUGGAUCGAAAGCUCGUAGUUAUUUCUGCGAAUGCUCAAUCAAAUCAAAACAUCCGGUUUGUUUAGCCCACAUUGAGCUCCACAUUUUAUAGGCAUACUUAUCCAAAUUGACAUCAAAAGUGUUCAGAUAUCAGAUGUAUCACAGCUAAAGAAUGAAAGUAUUUGUGGUCCUUUCACAGCUUUUGCCUACAGUCAGCUUUUAAUGUGAAUUAAAGAAUCAAGAGAUAUCAAGCUGACCAACUGCCAAGAAAGGGAAGGCAACUCCAUCUGAAGGAAAUUAAAAGAAAAGAUUUUACAAUUACAACAAUAGAUGUGAAAAUGUUAUUUUUUCAAUCUAAUAAUACACAUAACAAAAAAUACACUUAAGAAAUACUGUUCAAGAUUGUUUCUUAAAAUGUCAGUCUUACAUUUCAGUAGGAGUUUAAAGUUUGCAAAUACUUUUUUUAUAUACUUGAAGAUGUAUUGUAAAUGUAAAUUUGUCAGAUUUAAAGUUUUCAAGGCUUUAAUUAUCUCCCCUUAUUAAUCUCCAAAAAACUACUUAUGCAAGCCUCUUUAUUUUCCAACUCCUAGAAUUCAAAAUUUUUAAAAGGUCAAAACGUGUGUCAAAUUUUUUUUCUUUGUUUACUGUUUUAUGAUUGGAGUUCAACCUUUUAUCUCAAGAACAAAAUAAAAGAAACCUACUGUGCACAGAUGUUUUAAUUAACUGUAAAAGUCUUCCUCUCUUUUUAUUAUGAAUUGUGAAGAUAAUUUUUGAAGACAGACAAUUUAACACUGUAUUAGAGAAAUGUAGUUUAUAGAAAUUCAAGAUACAUUUUGUAAAACCAAACAAUAUGACUCUUUUACUUAAAUUAGUUCUUAUACAAAAUCACAUGACUAAGGGAGAUAACUCUACUUCUAAAUUAUUUAUCUGAAAUAGUAAAUUAAAGUGGCUCAUUUUAGUAUUAUCACUGACUGAUAGAUUUGCCACUUAAUAGAGAUUAACGUUCAUAACAAUUGAUGAUAACUUAUAUCUGCUGAUGCAAAAUUGUCCCUUGCUGAAAAGUAUUACUUUUAUAUUAAAUAUAUGUUGCUUUCAGGAGUUAUGUCCCUUUAAUAUUUUUUUUAUCAGAAUAUGUUUGUUAUAUAUGUAAACAAGGUGGGAUUUUAUACUAAUUACAAUAUCUUUAUUUGUAUUCAAGGUUGUUUAACAGUCCCAUAGUUGUAGUAUUUUUAUACGACCGCAAUAAUUUUUUGGGAUCGUAUAAUGGUAUGAUGUCGUCGUCUGCGUCGUCGUCCGAAGACACAUUGGUUUCCGGACAAUAACUUUAGUUUAAGUGAAUGGAUCUCUAUGAAAGUUUUUAAGAAGGUUCAAUACCACAAAAGGAAGGUUGGGAUUGAUUUUGGGGAUGAUGGUCCCAACCAUUUAGGAAUAAGGGGCCCAAAACAAGCAUUUUUCUAGUUUCAGGAUAAUAACUUGUGUAUAAGUAUUUCGAUUGCUCUGAAAUUGUACCACAAUGUUUAAUAUCACAAGUAGAAGGUUGGGAUUCAAUAUAGGGGUUAUGGGGCCAACAGUUCAGGAAUAAAGGGCCAAAAAGGGGCCAAAAAACAGGCAUUUUUCUAGUUUCCAGACAAUAACUUGUGUGUAAGUGUAUGGAUCUCUCUGACAUUGUUCCACAAGGUUCCAUAUAACAAAGGGAAGGCUGGGAUUGAGUUUGGGGUUAAUUGCCCUAAACAUGUAGGAAUUAGGGACCAAAAAAGGGCCAAAAAGAAGCAUUUUUCUAGUUUCCAGACAAUAACUUGUGUUUAAGUGUAUGGAUCUCUCUGAAAUUGUACUACAAGGUUCCAUACUACAAAGGAAAGGCUGGGAUUGAGUUUUGGGGUUAUUGCUCCAAGGGGGUUUCAAUAAGUUGAAAGGGGGGGGAUUUUUUGUUUACAAUUUUUUUAAGGGAUUCAUAUUUUUUUUCAAAAUUUUUCAAAUUUCGAAUUUUUGAAAAGUUUCAAGAAGAAAUUUUCAAUUGCACAGUAUUGUGCAAUAGAUUUGUAAGAUCUUUGACCACAUUUAUUUUGUGUCAGAAACCUAUAUUAUGUCAAAAAUUUGAUCACAAUCCAAAUUCAGACAGUAUCAAGCUUGAAUAUUGUGUCCAAAUUUGCCCCAACUGUUCAGGGUUUGACCUCUGCGGUCGUUUCAAGCUGCGCUCAGCGAAGCAUUUUAUUGAAUUUAGAGAUGAUCUGUAUUAUGUAUUAAAAUUAAUUGUUCCUUUUCCUCUAUUACAUAGUAAUGGCUUUUUUUUUUUUAUAUCAACCUUAAUUGUGAAACUAUUCAGAAUUGAUGACUUCUGAAAUUCUGCAGUUUAGAUCUGUGGUAAUUAAUAAGUUUUGUAAAUUUGAAACAUUAUUUAAGUUGACAUGUAACAUUUUCAAACAUAUACAAAUCAACACUUCUUUUUUUUAAUUUAAAAGACAAUAAAUUGAAAAACUUAUUACAUUUUAAAUUAAUGUAUAUCCUACCUACUGAUACUUCUAAGAAUUAUGUAUGCAAAUAAAAAUGUUCAUAGCUAUAAAUUUAUAGAAAGUCAAACUUUAAAAGAAACAGUGGGGUUUCUGUGCAUAAUUUAUGUUUAAUUUGAAAUUGUACUGUUAUUUGAUUGUACAUUGUGCUGAAUGUUGAAUGAAGUUUAUCUGUAUGGAUGAAACUUAUGUUUUUAAUAUUCAUUGAUUAAUAAACUUAAUAAGAAUAUAAUGCAA